AUGAAGACCCUAGGCAUGGCAGUGUCACUGGAAGGCCCGGGACCCACAGGCAGGAGACGGCGUGUAUCUCCGAGUCAUUGUCCCUUCUUCUUGCACCCGUACCUGACCCUGACCAGACCCCUCAGCUCCUGGCCCGACUGGCUCCAUCCUCAUCUCGGGACAGCGGCCCACACCGGAGCACUAGCCCCUGGGAGCCGCCUCAUGUCUCACCUCCGACCGCAUCAGGCUGCUCUAUGCCUGCAAGUUAAAAGCAGGCGGAGAAGAGAUAUUUCCAAACAUUCUGUAAAUUAAACUCCAAGGAGCAAAGCAGCUAAGCCCAGCCUGGUCAGCAUUGCUUUUCUUCGGAAAGAGGAAGGCAGAUCCUUCUGGGGAAGGAACUUGACAGUACCAGCUGAAACUUCCUGGAAGGUGCUGAGUAGGUGCAAGGAGCCGAGUGCACUGCCGGGCACUGGCACUAGCUCACCACUCCGCCUGGCAGUUUCGAAAAAGUCUGUGGUCACAAUGUCACCGAGGCAGCACC
rnacentral:lncRNA from 1 species